rnacentral:rRNA from 1 species
UACAGAGGGGGCAAGCGUUGUUCGGAAUUAUUGGGCGUAAAGGGCGCGUAGGCGGUAUGGCAAGUCGGCUGUGAAAUCCCUCGGCUCAACCGAGGAACGUCGAUCGAUACUGCUGUUCUUGAGGAUUGCAGAGGAGACUGGAAUUCCCGGUGUAGCGGUGAAAUGUGUAGAGAUCCGGAAGAACACCGGUGGCGAAGGCGGUCUGCUGGGCAGUUGCUGACACUGAGGCGCGACAGCGUGGGGAGCAAACAGG